CCCAUAAACAAAAUAAAUGCUCUUGCUGUCACAGUUGCAAUUUCUAUUUACCACUGAAUGAAAUGUGAGAACUUAAAUCAGAGUAUUCAUUUAUGUAUUUAGAAAUCCAAGUCUUGCAGAAUUAGGCAUCUGAGGUAACGGCCAGGUUUGAUUUUUCUUCCCCAGAGUUUUCCUCUGCAAUGGAUGUUCCAAAAUUUUAAACCUCCACAAGUCACAUCAUCUGUUUGAACAUGGAUGAAUUUCAGCACUCUGCAGAUUAAUCCAAAAGAUUUGAAAUGGGAAACAGGAGCAGCCCAUGUGGAUUUACUGCUGUUCACUCAUCAAAACCUGAAACUUCUAGCAAACCACCAAAAAUUAGUGUGUCCUCAUCAGCCCAGCUACAAAGAUGUCCUCAUCAGCCUAAUGAUAAAGGAUGUCCUGAGCCUGCCUGGCCAUGGAUGAGGGGAGGCCCUUGUAGUCAGUCACAGUGAAGGUACUGAGAGGUUUUUUGCUGUGGAGAGGUAGUGGCUGGAUCAAAGGGGUGGUCAUUUAUGCCAUUAAAACUAUUCAGGAAAGCUCUGCAGGACUGAUCAGAUGGGAGAUUCUCUUUCAAGUUUUGGGUUGCUUGGUUUCCCUCCAGUGUGAGGGAGGCAGGUCAGGCAGAUACUCUCUGCACUUGGAGCUGCAGCUGCUCUCACUGAUGUGGCAAAGGGACUUCAGGGACCUCCAAAGGAUGUUUUUACUCCUUGCUAAACUCUGCUCUUAGUAGGAACCACAUGCUUCCAUGGAGAACAGCGUGGAUGUUGGAUGAUGAAGUGAGUUUCAAUGGCAGUGAGUCCCACUCAUUGCCUAUUAGAAACAGUCUGGGCUUUUUUCCCUUGUUUCUGCCUUUUAAAUCAUUUAACAACAAUGCAAUGAGCCUGCAAGCUCUGCUGCUCCUUUUGUUUGCUAUUUCAGUUGCCUUGUCCUUGUCUUUGGUGAUGACCUGUCAGUCACUCAUUAUUUCCUCCUAGUUAAUCUUUUCUUUUUCCACAUGCAGUGUUUAGACACAGUGCCCUUCUUCAAGAGGCUUCAUUCCCUGUGUGCAUUUCCUUUGGCUUAUCUUCCUAUAUGGGCCCCUCCUGUGGGGACCUGAGCACAUCCCAUAACAAGCCAUACAUUUCCUUCCUCCUCAUCUUUUUUUCUUCUGGCCAUCCAUGCAGGAAUUUCCAAGAGAUUAAUGGGAGCAGAGAAUGUGUAAAAUCACAGGCUGGGCCAGGUCCCCAUCUGUAAUCAUUAAACCACAUUAUCACAGCACAUACACAAACACAGCAGACCCACACCUGGGCUAAAACUCUCCUGCUAUACACCUGACCUGUUGGAGAAGCUCUGGUAUGAAAAGUUAUUCCUAAAGUCAUCUAAAAAUGUGUUUUAUCAUGUCUCUGUAGUUGCAAGUAUUUUAGAGUGUAGCCACUCCUUUGGCUUUUGUUUUUGCUGGGUCAUAAAAGACCACAAAAAUACCUGAGCUGCCUCAUAUUCUGUGAGGCUUUAGUUAUAGUGUGUGAGGUAUGUUUCAUUGAUAUUAUUUGGUGUCUCAACAGUGUUUUAUCAGUUGCUUUGUUUUCCUUCCUGAACUGUAACCUUUUCCUUGUAGAGCCUGUAUUGGGGCCAUACCAUACCAACCAUUUGAAACACCUUUAUUGAGCACGGCAAUAGUGAUAAAACUAGAAAUCAAGGAAUGUCAUAAUUCACCAUAAACAAUUGUAUUGAAAUAUAGGCACCAGCAUAUAUUUUUCGUAAUUAACCUCUCAGCUGAGUGGCCCUGGAAUCCUGGAAAUAAGAUGCAGAUGGAUGAUGGAGCUGACAGUGCCAUGUUGGGUCGGCAGCUGACUGCUAGGGACAGUGAUGAUCUCUGGGGUCUAGAUUAAUGUUUGUUAAGAAGAGAGAGAAAAGAUUUUGCUAACAGAUGUUAGCAAAGCAUGAAAACCCUGUUCCUUUGGGCAGGAAUCAUAGCCUGGAAAGGUAAUGGAGAGAUUUUUGAAAGGAGUUUAUUUUCUGUAUAAAUGUGUGUCACUUUAGGUCACCUUUGUCUUUCUCACUCUCAUAAACUGAACUCAAUCUGUGACUCCCUUGUGGUUUACUCAUUGCUAGCUUUAAACAUUUAUGUCCACAUAAUUGUCUUUAAAUGUUUUAUUGGGAAUUUUCUCCCUCUGUUUUUAGGCUACACCUCUCAAAGCAUCCUUCCAUGGGUUUGACCUCAGACUGUUCCUGGGUGAUGUAUAUAUAGCCUUUGCAUAAUUUUUGUCUCUGCCUUUUGUUUGUCUUAUUAUCUUGCAACCCCAGCUUUGCAAUGAAGUGAAUAGUUACGAUAUUAUGCAAUAUUAUGCAAUGAUGAACAGUGUGAAUAGUUAACAACUGCUGGCUGAUAUAAGUCCAUGCAGCCACCUCAUUUCAAAACUCUCUCAAAGUACUCCAAGGUAAAGAUGAUUUUGCACAGUGUAUUAUUUUUUUUAAUUCUUUUUUUUUUUUUCCAGAGUGAGGGGAGUUAAACAGCUCAAGAAAUGUGUUAACUAUGAAAAGGCAAAAGGCCGAGUCAUCUGCUAGGCAGGACAUAAGAUAUUGCCUUGGGGAGUUAAAAAAUGGUCAGACACUCUUAUACCUGGUCUUUGGCCACCUGCACUUGUGCUGUACAAGCAAACUUUCAGGCUGUGCUGAUGAGACUUUGUUUUUAUCCACAAUUGCAGCUGCAGUGCUUUCCCUGAACUGUAGAGAAAUUGUUUUCAUCAUUCCAGUUUCUUCCUGCAUGAUAGACAUCUCCAUACAGGUCCUUUCAUUAUUUAUUUGCAGGCCUCAGCAUUUUAAGGACAAGGAAGUUUUUUGAGUGGUCAUCCUUCAGGGAUUGAGGCUUGUUUCUUGCACAGGGUUUAGGUGAAGCUGAUGGAUGUUUUUGACUCCGAAAGGCUUGAAAAAAGUCCCUUUCCUUUACUCCUUCCCCUGAGAGAGCAUGUUUCAAAAUGCUGCUGCUGGGGUAAUUGUGCCCUAAUUGAGGAAAGUCCUGGAGUGAUUCCACUGGAGUCAGACAUGACAUCAGCAGUGUUGCCUGGGCAGCAAGUUCCAUCCAUUGUCCUUGUGCCACACACACUUCCCUAGACCCAAAUUGUGUGUGUAACUACAUCCAAUAAUCACUAUCUUUUAACGGGACAUGCAGCCUCAGCACUUCAGGCACAGCACAGGACUUGGAUGUGGUAGAAAAAGUUUCCAAGGACAGCUGAUCAGAGGGAUGAAAGCCUGGUGCUACAACCUCUUUCCAGAAACCACAUAAGCCAAAAAGAAGCAGAAAACACCUCCACCUGCUGUCCUCAUGUUUGGAUCCAGAGCAAUUUGUCACCUCCUUUGUUUAUACUCAGGUGGCCACUAGUUCAUUGUUCAGUUGCAAUGCUUGUCCCCUUAGGAGUGCAGAUGCCAACAGAGUCAAUGCCUGGGAAAUCGUCACAGGCAUGAGAUAGUGACUCUCUGGGGAGAUCAAAAAGAAACCAAGAUGCAGGAGAAUGCUGCCAUAAUUAUCCACAGAAAGGUUAGCUCAAUGUCACUGCAGAUUCCUUAUGGCUACUGAGAACUGUCUGUCCGUACCAGAGAGCAGCCCUGUCCCUGAAUAUCUGCUAAAGAACAUCAAUAAAAACAUUAAAACCAGAUUAAAAACAAAACCCGAAACAUCGCUCUUAAGUCUUCGAUUGUUCUGACAAUGUGCCGUUGCAGUUUUCUCCUGGAUGAAUAUUUCUCUCUGGAAAAGCAGAGCAGAGCAUUUGAGGGAAUUCUCCAGCUGGUAUCAAGGAAAUGAUUUCUCAGAUAUCUGUGCAACUCUGCCUCCACAUGCUGCUGAAAGUUCCUAAUUUUAAGUUGAUCUUUCCUAGGAACCUGACAGAAAAAAUGUGGUUCUGAUGAUUUGAGUUGCUCACUGUCCACUGAUUUCCACUGUGGAAAUAGAAGUGUCUGGGCUGGACCUGCUGUAUGUGAUCUGUUUUCACCAGGGUUAGCCACUUGUGCCUCUCUGGGCUGUGGAGCUGCUGGAACACAUCAUUGCAAAUUCCCAAGCUGCUUGUGGAGUUUCCAGGUACUACUCAAGGCUUGGAAAAUUUCAGCUGCAGUUUUAUCCAAAUGCUAACAACCCACCACAUGUUUGUAUGAGCUUGACUGGAGAAGGUCAGGGGAGGACCCUGAAAGUCAUUCAGCUGUUUCUUGCUCCAAGCUGCGCUGGGGAGAUAACAUUGCCUGAGAUGCACUCUUGUGCAAAGCAUUUGAUCAUCUGAUGCAUUUCUUUGGGGAAGCUGUGUCUGUGUGGUGGAGCUGCACAGCUUCUGGGCUGUGCCACUCGGAGGACUGAAUGCUCAGUAGAGGACAGCACUAACCAGGAACCAGCAGCUCCUCAUUCUGGGUGAGGAUUGGCACAAGGGAAGGCAUUUGUGCUCGUGUGGAUGCAAGGGCUGCACCAGUCUGGUGACGUCUAUGCCAGGACAUGAAAGAGACAAACACUGUCGUGCUCCUGUGGGCACUACAAAGCUUUCAGGGAAAAGCCUUCCUGGUCUCUCUGUUGAGCAUGGAGUGGCCAUCUCACUGCCUGCUGGGAUGGGUGUCUAUGGUACCUUCAAAGUCUGCAGGAUUCCCUGUCUGGAUUGGGAGUUAAAGGAAAACACCCUUGAGCUUCCAGCUCUAUCUCUAGAAACUUGCCUAUGCACAGCAUUUGUCCCCAUGUUUCUCAGCUUCUAUCCAGCCUGUGAAGUGUCAGAAUGCCAGAGAGCACUCCCGUUUUUACAAAUAGGGAACAGAAAUUUUCAUUUGUUUCUGUAUGUCCCCUCAUGAGGUGCUCAAGAUGGGCAGCAGCUUUUUAGCUGUUAGACCAUCAGCCCAGCCAUAACCAGCAUGUUUUAUGUUUCUCCAUGGGCUUCUGGCCACCUGUGUAAUGUCCAUCUGCUGAACUGGGUGGGAAACUACCAGCACUGCCAUCCAGAUCAUUGGAAUGAGGCAUGGGUUUCCAGGAGGUGAUUAUGUUCCUGAAGGAUCGUUUGCAGUACAGUGACAAAAGCUGCUGUCCCUUCUGCAUGGAGUCCCUCCCAUGAACUGGUCUCAUGGCACUGCUGUUUACUUCUUGAUACUUUAAGGUAUCUGGGGAGAUUUAUCCAGAAGAAUUGCAAACAUUGUGGCAAUGAUAUCAAAUUAAUAUUCAGAGACAGUCUCUGACACUCUGAGACUGAGGAAUUUUAAUGUGUUCAUCCUGAGCUGUGGGGGGCUUUUCUAAUGGUAAAUUUGCCAGAAAAUGCAGGUUUAGAAUGACCAAAACUAUUUGCCCUCUGAAGUAAAAUCUGUGGACUAGUUCUAAGUGGGAAAGGACAUGGUACUUCAGGAGUGACAGUGAGCGUGCCUCUGGCCUCUCCUUAGCCAAGGUGCAAGGACCCCACAACAUCAAGCUGUUUGCUCAACACCCCUUUACUGUGGAAGGAAGUUUGAGACUGCAAUUCCCAGUUGUCACUUCGAUGUCGGAGACAGGAAUAUGAUAAAACACACCAAGGUUCAUGUGCAACAGCCAACUUUUAUUGAGUGCAGCUCUGCUUACAUAGCAUUGAGGUCUGCACUGUUAAGUCUGAUUGGCUAACCAGUUGUCCCCCGGCCAACCAGCCAAUAGCCGCUCGCAUCCCCAGCCGUCUCACCUGCUCCCCAACGGUCCACACUGGUCCAGUUACAUAAUCAAGGUACUUGUAUAAUUAGUUAUGUUUCAGUUAUAAAAUUGGGAUUAAUUAUAACUGUGAGGCCUUCGGGCCAGCUGUUGGCCACCACAGUUCCCCCUUUUUUGUUUUUAGAUACAAAAAGCAGUAUCAUCCUCUGCAGGCACCUUGCAGACAGGAUGACAAACGCUGCAUUAUGUAUGAAACAUUCACAAUGACACAAAUAAAAAACCUCAACCUUUCCACUCAACUCAACAAGUCCAGCCUGUGAUAUAGUUUCAGCCAGUGAUAUAUCCCUGGUAUAUACAAUGAUAUAUCCUGAUAUAUCCCCCCUGACAUACACAAUGAUAUUGUAUCAUUGGAGAUGUAACAAUCAUAUCCAGUUGUCAAAUGGGAUUACCAGCCAUACAAACUCUCAAAGUGGCAUGCCCCAUGCUUAUUAAAUUAAAAGUUACAAUUUCACAACUUUACGAUUCAACCUUAGAAUCACAAGAAAAUAAACAAUUUGUCUUAGUUUGGUUUUGUGGUUAAUGUCCUUAAAUAGACAAGAAUCCUUAAAUAAAUUGUCCCAGUUUGCCACGUAGCAGGUGCACAAGUUGUUUAAAUCACUGCAACACAAUGUCUGCUAGGGUGUCAUCAGAAAGGUGCUGUUCGGGUUCUGAGCAGGGCGAACACACCUGGCCGGUACCCAUCGCAUUCUGUUGUCCAUGGAAACACAAGCUACCCUCACCCCCAAGUAAGACGAUCCCAUGGACCUAUCCAAGAGAUCUUAGUGAUAGUAUCUCUUACCAUUACUUUGGGUUUAGGUGAUUUAGUAUCACAAAGUGAUUUAAUACUGGAUUCUGGGAAUUUUCUGGUAUUCUUAAGUGGUUCAGGGUAUAAACAGCACUUUGCUGCUCUGCUCUCUGGGGAUUCACCACACAUUCCCCUUUUCUGUUUAUCAAGUAUUCAUUUUAAAGUUCCACGUGCAUGUUUCACGAUGGCUUGUCCUGUUGGUGAGUGGGGAAUACCAGUGUGGUGUACUUGUAGUACUUGUACUUUGUACUUUGGGGGAGCGUACAACACUCCCAAGUUGUAGGAAUUGUCUCAUGUUUUCUGAAAUGUAUGCAGAGCCAUUGUCUGUUUUAAUGGUAUGAGGGAUACCUAAAGCAGCCAAGGUUGAUUUCCAAUGUGUGAUGGUAUCCCCAACUGUGGCCUGUGUGGCUGAUGAGGUGUCAUUUGAGACGUGCAUAUAUUUUAAUCUGCCAGAUGCAGGGAUGUGUGUAACAUCAGUUUGCCAAAUUUGCAGAGCUCUCAGGUCACGGGGAUUAAGUCUCAUUUGCAGUAAUGCAGUGUGGCCUUGGCAGUCAGUACAAGUACUGACUGUAUUAUGAGCCUCUGUGUUUCACAAUAGAAAUUACCUCUGUAGGGCUCAAACUCCUUGAUGGAAGGUGGCAUGUGAUGCUUUUUGCUCAUGUAGGAAUAUCUGGUUGAGAUGCUGUCCAGGCAGGGCUAGCCAGGUAAUCUGAACAAACAUUGCCCUCUGAGAUGAAACCUGGCGAAUUUUUUAUUUGUGUGACUUCUAAUACGUAAGAGGUAAUAAGGGCAAGUUCUGGCUUGGAUUGAAUGGCACAAAGCCCUUAGUAGGUCAAAUAACUGCAUUGUCUUUCUGUAAUGCUUAGUAAUAUUCAGUAAUAUUUAAGGAAGUGUGAGAAAAUCGUUGGAAAGCCAUUUCAUAGGAGACUGUGUUUAAUACUUUCUUCUCAUCACCACCAAAAUGCUUUACAGCCCUGAGCCUCCACUUUCAGCAGUGACAAACCAAUACCGUGCCAGAGAGGAGGAGAUGGUUCUGGUGAACAGUUUCUCCAGUUGGUCAUACUUCCUUCACUGCUCAGCAAGCCCAGAGGCUGAAAAUAUAUAGAUGCAUUAAUAAAACCUAAGAUUUUUCCAAACAGCACAUGAGGGAGAAAAGAAAAAGUACGCUUAUUCUAGAAAUACAAACCUUUUAUAAGGAUUUUUAAUUUCAAUAUUUGUUCUAUGAUAAAAAGAAAAUGUAGGCCAACAAAGGCCAGGAUUAUCAAAGAGCUCCCCUUUUGCUUCAGCUCUUUAAGGGCUUGUCAGUUUUUUAUUGUACACUUACUCCUCUUAAGACUUCUACUUUUAUUACUUAAUUUUUUCUGCUGGCCUGUAGAUAAAAAAAUCUGCUGUCAGCCUGUCUGCAUAUGUCCAUCAGAUAUGCACAGGGAAUAAAAUGGUUAGAACAGGAGACAAAGGGCUAUUCCUUUACACCUGCCUGACAAAAAUCAGAUUUGCUGGAAGCUGAAGCCAGCUCUACCACUUACAGUGGCAGCAGGUUGAAAAAUGCUUUCUAUUUACAAAUAUUUUUUGAUCAAAGUAUUAAGCUUGAAGAGGAACAUGUGUUAUAUCAUGGAUCUCUCUAAAGUGGGUAAAAUAAGCUGUUGCACUUAGAAAAACAUAAUUUGCCAAAUCUGAUACUUUAAA